rfam:Echinops telfairi cont1.439785, whole genome shotgun sequence.
UGGGCAAAAAAAACAUAGCUUUUUACUGCUUUGUCCACUUAGGAGGUAACAGGACUGCCAACCUGGCAGUGUGCAAUGACAACAAAUCACCACGAGACGUUUCAUUUAAAAAUUGGCACUGCUUUUGGGGAGGUAAGGGAUUGUCAAUUUGCAUUUAUUUUAAGGCCAGGCACAAUCAUAACACUCCCCACCUGGGCAC